UACAGAGGGGGCAAGCGUUAUUCGGAAUUAUUGGGCGUAAAGGGCGCGUAGGCGGCCUGGCAAGUGGAAGGUGAAAUCCCUCGGCUUAACCGAGGAACUGCCCUCCAAACUGCUUGGCUUGAGUCCGGGAGAGGUGAGUGGAAUUCCCAGUGUAGCGGUGAAAUGCGUAGAUAUCGGGAGGAACACCGGUGGCGAAGGCGGCGACCUGGUUCGAUACUGACACUGAGGUGCGAAAGCGUGGGGAGCAAACAGG
rnacentral:rRNA from 1 species